UGCCCAGAAAGAUCUCAAUUGCUCCCAUAAAUUCUGCAGUCCCAGGUCUGGGAUAAAUGUUUUACAGAGUUGAGGCCCUAAAUACAGAAGGAGAACUGGACAAGACUAUUGAGUGGAAACGCUUGCCUUUGCUUAAGAUGUACAAUAGUGACAGCCUUCAGGAUUGAAUAUUUUGCGGGCACAACCAAAACAGAACAAGAAGGGGGAAAAGACAUCUGAUGUUACGAAUCAAAACCAACCAUCCUUUCUGGCUCCUUAUUUCUCAGAGGCGAACGGUGACGAUCUGUCCCUCCCCUCUUCGGCCUGUUUGGGAUGAAGUUUCCAUCCCCGUCUCCCCUCGGAGGGGGAUCCCUGCGCUCGGGGGUUCCCUGGCUGUCGCUGUGAGACCAGCCCGGCAGCGCUGCGGCAACGCGGGCCCGCAGCGCCCUCUCCCGCGGCUCCGGGGCACCCCCGGCCCCGCAGCAUCCCGCACACGGGCACCCCCGGCACGGACACCCCGCAGCAUCCCGCACACGGGCACCCCCGGCCCCGCAGCAUCCCGCACACGGGCACCCCUGGCACGGACACCCCGCAGCAUCCCGCACACGGGCACCCCUGGCACGGACACCCC